rnacentral:sRNA from 1 species
GCCGCUUAAUUUAUUUUUAAAUAAAGCGGGGGACCCAGAUUUUUGGGGCGAAUUUUUCCUAAAGGAAAAUAGGAUAACUCUUUCAGUCCGAGCCCGUCAGCUAACCUCGUCAGCGUUGAAUGAGA